rnacentral:tRNA from 1 species
ACUCCCGUAGCUCAGGUGGAUAGAGCGGCAGUUUCCUAAACUGUAGGUCGAAGGUUCGAGUCCUUUCGGGAGUA